AAACGUUGAGAAUACACUAAUUCAUUGAAGAUCUGCUGACUAAUGUCCCUUGGAAGCAUAGAAAAUGUACUAUAUUUAUCUAUGCCCUCACGUAUGUUUUGGAUGCACAAUUCCAUGAGGGAUGGACAUCUCCGAUUUCCCCGCUGCGGUUCACAAGCAGGCCUAGAAAAUGAAGUUGCUAACCACUUUGAGCUCGCACUUUUGCUAUAUCUUCUAGAAAUCCCAUUAUGAAAAUUAUCUACAUUGUCCAAUUGAUCUCUCUUCCUAGAA
rnacentral:misc_RNA from 1 species